rnacentral:rRNA from 1 species
UAUCUCUGUAGAGUCUGCAUAUCAAUAAGCGGAGGAAAAGAAACUAAUUAGGAUUCCCUCAGUAACGGCGAGUGAAGCGGGAAGAGCUCAAAUUUGAAAUCUUCAAGGUUCUACCUUGACGAAUUGUAGUUUAAAGAAGUGUUUUCUGUUGGAGUUUUGGUAAAAGUUCUUUGGAAUAGGACAUCAUAGAGGGUGAGAAUCCCGUAUUUGACCAUUAUUUCCAGCUUUGUGAUACACUUUCAAAGAGUCGGAUUGUUUGGGAAUGCAGUCCAAAAUGGGUGGUAAAUUUCAUCUAAAGCUAAAUAUUGGCGAGAGACCGAUAGCGAACAAGUACCGUGAGGGAAAGAUGAAAAGAACUUUGAAAAGAGAGUUAAACAGUACGUGAAAUUGUCAAAAGGGAAGCGUUUGACACCAGUGUUGUUUUCUCGAAAAUCAAUUAAAAAAGGCAGGAUUUUGUGUUGUAUUGACUUUAUCAGCUUUCUGCACUCUUUUCUUGUCUUUUUUAAUGCACUUUUCGUUUAACAAGUCAACAUCAAUUUCUUUUGUUGUAAAAGGGUCAUUGGAAGGUGGCUUUCUUUUCGGAGAAAGUGUUUAUAGCCUUUGGCCUCUGCAAUCGGAGAGAUUGAGGUCUGCAGCGUAGAUCCUUCGGGGUUAGAUACAUUUGUGCUAAGUUAUAGCCUUUCAUAGACAACUUGUUGACUAUGAUUAAGUCAUGUAGCUUACUCGUUUGCGCUAUUUUACCUACGCUUAGGAUGUUGACGAUCAGCUGAGCGCG